rnacentral:lncRNA from 1 species
AGUUGAUACUUCUAUACAGGCCUGGGGCCAUUACAUUGCAAUGUAAUGCAUUACAUUACAAUUACUUUGUGAUUCUUCCAUUACAAUUACAAUUACAAUUACAUUUUUCUCACAUGUAAUGCAUUACAUUACAAUUACUUUGCCUGUGUAAUGCAUUACAUUACACAUUACUUUUUCAAUAUAAAAACAAAAAGCAUUUCAAAAACAGAG